UACGUAGGUGGCAAGCGUUGUCCGGAUUUAUUGGGCGUAAAGCGCGCGCAGGCGGUUCGUUAAGUCCGAGGUGAAAUCUCCCGGCUCAACUGGGAGGGGUCUUCGGAUACUGGCGGACUUGAGGAGAGCAGAGGUGAGCGGAAUUCUAGGUGUAGUGGUGAAAUGCGUAGAUAUCUAGAGGAACACCAGUGGCGAAGGCGGCUCACUGGGCUCCACCUGACGCUGAGGCGCGAAAGCGUGGGGAGCGAACCGG
rnacentral:rRNA from 1 species